CGGGAAGUGGCGCAGUUUGGCAGCGCACCUGUUUUGGGAACAGGGGGCCGCAGGUUCAAAUCCUGUCUUCCCGA
rnacentral:tRNA from 1 species